CCUACGGGGGGCAGCAGUGGGGAAUAUUGGACAAUGGGGGGAACCCUGAUCCAGCCAUGCCGCGUGUGUGAAGAAGGCCCUCGGGUUGUAAAGCACUUUCAGUGAGGAAGAACGCCUGGUGGUUAAUACCCAUCAGGAAAGACAUCACUCACAGAAGAAGCACCGGCUAACUCCGUGCCAGCAGCCGCGGUAAUACGGAGGGUGCGAGCGUUAAUCGGAAUUACUGGGCGUAAAGCGCGCGUAGGUGGCUUGAUAAGCCGGUUGUGAAAGCCCCGGGCUCAACCUGGGAACGGCAUCCGGAACUGUCAAGCUAGAGUGCAGGAGAGGAAGGUAGAAUUCCCGGUGUAGCGGUGACAUGCGUAGAGAUCGGGAGGAAUACCAGUGGCGAAGGCGGCCUUCUGGACUGACACUGACACUGAGGUGCGAAAGCGUGGGUAGCAAACAGGAUUAGAUACCCCGGUAGUC
rnacentral:rRNA from 1 species